AACCAAGUCGUUGAGGGCUUCAAUAACUGGCUACCUAACUUAAGCGUGGACUGCGAAGAUGUUGACGAUGUCUAAGUAACUUCCGAUAUCAGGGACGCUAUAUGCUACGGGUCUCGGACAACGUACCUCUCACUAAAAGCUAUAAACUACUCAUAGAAUGACACAAACGACGUUGGACAACUACAUACCCAGUUCGGCUUUAAAAAUAAUCUAACUGGAAUGUGACCUAUGACAUCCUAUAUGAUAGCUAGUGACGAAAAUAUCCUAAGAAUAUGCAACACAUCGUUCACAUCAUAUAUAGUAUGACCCAUGAGUAACUUAGGGUGAAUUUAACAUGUAACA